UACGUAGGGCGCAAGCGUUGUCCGGAAUUAUUGGGCGUAAAGAGCUCGUAGGCGGCUUGUCACGUCGAUUGUGAAAGCCCGAGGCUUAACCUCGGGUCUGCAGUCGAUACGGGCUAGCUAGAGUGUGGUAGGGGAGAUCGGAAUUCCUGGUGUAGCGGUGAAAUGCGCAGAUAUCAGGAGGAACACCGGUGGCGAAGGCAGGUCUCUGGGCAUUAACUGACGCUGAGGAGCGAAAGCAUGGGGAGCGAACAGG
rnacentral:rRNA from 1 species